rnacentral:rRNA from 1 species
UACGUAGGGGGCAAGCGUUGUCCGGAAUCACUGGGCGUAAAGCGCACGUAGGCGGCUUCUUAAGUCAGGGGUGAAAUCCUGGAGCUCAACUCCAGAACUGCCUUUGAUACUGAGAAGCUUGAGUUCAGGAGAGGUGAGUGGAACUGCGAGUGUAGAGGUGAAAUUCGUAGAUAUUCGCAAGAACACCAGUGGCGAAGGCGGCUCACUGGCCCGAUACUGACGCUGAGGUGCGAAAGCGUGGGGAGCAAACAGG